rnacentral:rRNA from 1 species
GCAAAUUUGAUUAAUGCUACUUCUAUUAGUUUGGAACAAUUGGAAAAGUCUAAAAACGAAACCCUUUAUUUUGAAAAACAAAGGGCAAUAAAUCAGGUCCGACAGCGGGUUUUCCAACAGGCCGUACAAGGAGCUCUAGGAACUCUGAAUAGUUGUUUGAAUACCGAGUUACAUUUCCGUACGAUUCGUGCUAAUAUUGGCAUUCUCGGGUCCCAUGCCCGAAGCUUUGAGGAAGGCGACCUUGUUCUUCGGCGUCUUCAGUCGGCCAAGAAUUCCAACAAGUUGACGCCAAACUGGGAAGGCCCUUAUCGGGUAAUACGAGUCACCAGGCCGGGUGCAGUCCGCCUGGAGACCGAAGAUGCUGUCCCGGUGAGCAACUCCUGGAACAUCGAGCAUCUUCGCAAAUUUUACCCAUAA